GGUUCCGAGGUGUUGACAUAGUGGAUUGCAAAUCCAAAGUAGUAGAUCAAAGUCUGCCGGAACUU
rnacentral:tRNA from 1 species